CUGGGCCAAGGUGCAGACAGGAGCUACUGGGUUUCAGACUUAAGGUGGAUGUGAAGUGAUGAACUCUCGGUGCUGUCACAAUCCUGGCUAUGCCACACUCAGACAUUGGGUACCAGGAGUUGUUGAAUUCAUCCUGUAACAACCUCAAUCUCUCAAAUUUCAAGAUAUCUCUCCAGUAGCUAUUUUCUUUCUUUUCAAAAAAAGAACUCAUUAUUAUGUGUACUGACUGAUUUUGUGUGUCAACUUGACACAAGCUGGAGUUAUCACAGAGAAAGGAGCCUCCCUUGAGGAAAUGCCUCCAUGAGAUCCAUCUGUUAGGCAUUUUCCCAAUUAGUACCCAAAGGUGAGAGGGCCCCUUAUGGGUGGUGCCAUCCCUGGGCUGGUAGUCCUGAGUUCUAUAAGAAAGCAAGCUGAGCAAGGCAGGGGAAGCAAGCCAGUAAGGAACAUCCCUCCAUGCCCUCUGCAUCAGCUCCUGCUUCCUGACCUGCUUGCGUUCCUGUCCUGACUUCCUUUGGUAAUGAACAGUAAUGUGGAAAUGUAAGCUGAAUAAACCCUUUCCUCCCCAACUUACUUCUUGGUCAUGAUGUUUUUUUGCAAGAAUACAAACCCUGACUAAGACAUUAUGUGAAUAGAUGUUUGAUCUGCAUGUCUGUGUACCAUGUACACUUUACAUACAGAUACAUUUGUAUUUGGUGCCCACAGGGGCCAGAAGAGGGUGUCAGAACCCCUGAGACUGGAGCUACAGACAACUGUGAACUGACAACUGGGUGCCGGGAAUUGAACCCAGAUCUUCUGGAAGAACAUCGGGGCUCUUAACCUCUGAGUCAUCUCUCACCACCCCCAUCCUCAGUAACUAUUUUCAUGAAAUAUAUCCAGAUCAUGUUUUUCUCUUCAGUUUCAACUAUGCUAUUCCUAGAAGUGUGUAAACUAUUUACAGCUGCCAUGCCAAAGAGUUCUAUUCUGACACUGAACAGAAUAGCUAUGCCAUAUCUCACACAGCAUUCUGAGCAUAGCUGUCAAUCAACACUGGGCACCACAGGUUGUAUUCGGCAGGCAAAACUCUCUCCCUUUAUCCUCAGGGGGCAGGGGACAGAGGUAUCUGGUGGUAUGUGACUAGCACCUUAUAUUUCUCUCACAUGACAGUAGCUCUUGGCUUGUCUUUCCAUGGUGUUAACAUGAAAACCAUCCCUUUCUAUACAUCUGUGCACUAGCUUUUAAGGUCAUGUGGGGCCGUUGUCCCUGGAGUCCAAAAGACCCAUGGGUGGGGCAUACAAGCUGCCAAACUCCUUAUCAAGUUGUUCGUCAGUCUCUGCUUUGCGUGAUGAGUCACUCUCAAGGCCACAGAGAAGGAGAUGUUCUCAGAAGGCCAUCAUUUCCUCUUCCCAUCUGGGACAGAAGCCAAUCCCACAAUUCCUUUGAGGAUCCAUCUCUUCCUGAUCCUGUGAUCCAGGGCCACCUUCAGGGUGGUUGGAGCAAAGAGCUGUCCUGAUCUGCAUCCUGUUCCUUUGAGCAUCUUCAACAGAGUCUCCCCACCCUGGGUGGAAAGCCUGCUGCCAUCUCAGCAUCUCUUAUCCCUUCUGACCUUAGUCCAUCCUUAGAUUUCACUAUGUGUGCAGAGAAAGCAUAUAAAAGAUCAGUGGUUUAAAUAAUUGCACUUUGAUCUGUUGU
rnacentral:lncRNA from 1 species